rfam:Ixodes scapularis strain Wikel colony gcontig_1108378500838, whole genome shotgun sequence.
GCAGUCAUGGCCGAGUGGUUAAGGCAAUGGAAUAGAAAUCCAUUGGGGUCUCCCCGCACAGGUUUGAAUCCUGUCGACUGCG